GUGUGUGGGUCGCUACCACGGUUUAAUUGACGUCACAUACAAUAGUGUUUCCGUCCAGCGCUGCAGAGAUGAGAGCUGUAGGCUUAGCUUCUUCGGGCUUCAGAUAAAACAACAUGUCGCUCAGGAAACAGGAAACCGCGAAUGAAUUGUGAAAUCAGAGUAAAAGAUCUGGACAGAAGCAAGCGGAUGUAAGCAGAGAGGAAAGCAGAUAUAUUUUCAGUGUUGCCCAGAAGGUGGAAUUAAACCACUUUGACUCUCAUCAGCUACAAGUUCGAAGCCUGCACCCCAGACCACUGCAACUCAUCCGGGAGACGAACCUGCUCGACUAGAACAAGCAUAAAGGAUGGCUAGAAUCAACUGACUGAAGCUGGACCCAUUAACAGGAAGGUGGCGCGGCGGUCCUUCUUGUGGGCAAACGUUGUCAUCAAAUUCUGUCAUUCUCUGGAUUUAUGGUGCUUUCAAGACAACUUGGAACUCGGGGAAAAACGAGGUCGAAUCAUAAUGUCAGUCAUCUUCAGGUCGGAACGUCUGAGCUCUAGAAGGAGGCCCGAGUUCCCGACUUGAAAUUCCAAGUUGGAUUACCGUUCAAAACAUAUUUUCCCAUUCGGAGCUCAGUUCCCAGUUGUCUUUUUUCCCCCAUUUUUUUGUUCACCUUUAUUUAACCAGGUAGGCAAGUUGAGAACAAGUUCUCAUUUACAAUUGCAACCUGGCCAGGAUAAAGCAAAGCAGUUUGACACAUACAACGACACAGAGUUACACAUGGAGUAAAACAAACAUACAGCCAAUAAUACAGUACAAACAAGUUAUAUACAAUGUGGGCAAAUGAGGUGAGAUAAGGGAGGUCAAGGCAAAAAAAAGGCCAUGGUGGCAAAGUAAAUACAAUAUAGCAAGUAAAACACUGGAAUGGUAGAUUUGCAAUGGAAGAAUGUGCAAAGUAGAAAUAAAAAUAAUGGGGUGCAAAGGAGCAAAAUAAAUACAUUAAUUAAAUUACAGUAGGGAAAGAGGUAGUUGUUUGGGCUAAAAUAUAGGUGGGCUAUGUACAGGUGCAGUAAUCUGUGAGCUGCUCUGACAGUUGGUGCUUAAAGCUAGUGAGGGAGAUACAGUGCCUUGCGAAAGUAUUCGGCCCCCUUGACGUUUGCGACCUUUUGCCACAUUUCAGGCUUCAAACAUAAAGAUAUAUGAGACUGAGACUAUCACAGUGCAGGUGCAUUUAUACGGAGACUUGAUUACACACAGGUGGAUUGUAUUUAUCAUCAUUAGUCAUUUAGGUCAACAUUGGAUCAUUCAGAGAUCCUCACUGAACUUCUGGAGAGAGUUUGCUGCAUUGAAAGUAAAGGGGCUGAAUAAUUUUGCACGCCCAAUUUUUCAGUUUUUGAUUUGUUAAAAAAGUUUGAAAUAUCCAAUAAAUGUCGUUCCACUUCAUGAUUGUGUCCCACUUGUUGUUGAUUCUUCACAAAAAAAAUACAGUUUUAUAUCUUUGUUUGAAGCCUGAAAUGUGGCAAAAGG